GACGAACGCUGGCGGCGUGCCUAAUACAUGCAAGUCGAACGCAUUUGCUUUCACCGUGGCUUGCUACACCGAGAGAAAAUGGGUGGCGAACGGGGGAGUAACACGUGGGUAACCUGGCCAUCAUCGGGGGAUAACACGUGGAAACAGGUGCUAAUACCGCGUAAUUCCAUUUGCCGCAGGGUAUAUAGAUGAAAGGCGCUGUUGCGGCACUUUUUGAUGUAGCCGCGGUGCAUUAGCUAGUUGGUGGGGUAACGGCCUAUCAAGGCUGCGAUGCAUAGCCGACCUGAGAGGGUGGUCGGCCACACUGGGACUGAGACACGGCACAGACUCCUACGGGAGGCAGCCGUAGGGCAUCUUCGGCCAUGGACGCAAGUCUGACCGAGCAACGCCGAGUGAGUGAAGAAGGUUUUCGGAUCGUAAAACUCUGUUGUUAGAGAAGAACAAGGAUGAGCGUGGAAAGUUCAUCGCUUGACGGUAUCUAACCAGAAAGCAACGGCUAACUACGUG
rnacentral:rRNA from 1 species